GCGGCGGACGGGUGAGUAACACGUGGGUAACCUGCCCAUAAGACUGGGAUAACUCCGGGAAACCGGGGCUAAUACCGGAUAACAUUUUGAACCGCAUGGUUCGAAAUUGAAAGGCGGCUUCGGCUGUCACUUAUGGAUGGACCCGCGUCGCAUUAGCUAGUUGGUGAGGUAACGGCUCACCAAGGCAACGAUGCGUAGCCGACCUGAGAGGGUGAUCGGCCACACUGGGACUGAGACACGGCCCAGACUCCUACGGGAGGCAGCAGUAGGGAAUCUUCCGCAAUGGACGAAAGUCUGACGGAGCAACGCCGCGUGAGUGAUGAAGGCUUUCGGGUCGUAAAACUCUGUUGUUAGGGAAGAACAAGUGCUAGUUGAAUAAGCUGGCACCUUGACGGUACCUAACCAGAAAGCCACGGCUAACUACGUGCCAGCAGCCGCGGUAAUACGUAGGUGGCAAGCGUUAUCCGGAAUUAUUGGGCGUAAAGCGCGCGCAGGUGGUUUCUUAAGUCUGAUGUGAAAGCCCACGGCUCAACCGUGGAGGGUCAUUGGAAACUGGGAGA
rnacentral:rRNA from 1 species